rnacentral:rRNA from 1 species
UACAGAGGCCUCAAGCGUUGUUCGGAACCACUGGGCGUAAAGGGUGCGUAGGCGGUCUUUUAAGUCGGGGGUGAAAUCCUGGAGCUCAACUCCAGAACUGCCUCGAUACUGGAAGACUCGAGUCCGGGAGAGGUGAGUGGAACUGCGAGUGUAGAGGUGAAAUUCGUAGAUAUUCGCAAGAACACCAGUGGCGAAGGCGGCUCACUGGCCCGAUACUGACGCUGAGGCACGAAAGCGUGGGGAGCAAACAGGG